AUGGGCCAUGUUUCCUUAGGAUGAGAUCUCACGCUGUCACCCAGUCUGGAGUCCAGUGGUGCAAUUAUGGGUCACUGCAACCUCUACCUCCUGGGUUCAGGUGAUCCUCCCACUGCAGCCUCCCAAGUAGCUGGGACUACAGAGUGAGCAUCAGAAGUGGUCUUCAAUCCCUGCUAAACAGUCUCACCGAGACCUCAAAAGACCUUCCUCUACUGCUCAUCACUGCGUCUUAUUUAUUGUCUUUUGUACUGGUGAAGAGAAACUCAUUAAAUAAGGCAAUUUUGAAACUUUUGUUAAAAUGAAUA
rnacentral:lncRNA from 13 species